UACAGAGGUCCCAAGCGUUGUUCGGAUUCAUUGGGCGUAAAGGGUGUGUAGGCGGCGCCGUAAGUCAGGUGUGAAAUCUCGGGGCUUAACUCCGAAACUGCAUUUGAUACUGCGGUGCUUGAGGACUGGAGAGGAGACUGGAAUUUACGGUGUAGCGGUGAAAUGCGUAGAUAUCGUAAGGAAGACCAGUGGCGAAGGCGGGUCUCUGGACAGUUCCUGACGCUGAGGCACGAAGGUCAGGGGAGCAAACGGG
rnacentral:rRNA from 1 species